AAGUCGUAACAAGGUUUCCGUAGGUGAACCUGCGGAAGGAUCAUUACCAAUAUAGCGAACCGAGCGUUAGCGAGGCUUCGCGAUCAAAUUUGUAUUUAAAACCCAACUCUUUAAAUGUAUAAUUAUUAUUGUAUUUUAAAUAAUAAAAAGAUCACUUUCAACAACGGAUCUCUUGGCUCUC
rnacentral:misc_RNA from 1 species